GCCGUAUCACUAAAGCAAAACACAUCAUUUUGCUUGGUAUUCAUUUUGGCUCGUAUUACAUGACAGGCUAGCUCAAAAUCUUGAAAUGCGGGAAACAGUUGAUCAUCAAUGCCGAGAAGAUCAAUUGGACAGUGGUCGUUGAUAGAUUGAGGAGUGCAGUGGAAGUUGAUUUGAGCUUGGGUAUGAUGAACCAGUUGGGUCUCUAUUGCAAAAACAAAUUAAGCUUAAGGAAUUCAAGACUGGCAAUUCUUCUUCUUUCGUUAC
rnacentral:lncRNA from 1 species